GUCUCCUGCACUGCAGGAGGAUUCUUUAUCAGCUGAGCUACCAGAGAAGCCCUUUAGGGCUUAGGAAGAAGCCUUAGGAAGAAAGGCAUUUUACAGGUAUAUGGUUUCCUUCAUAUGGAAACAACCACAACCCUGCAACUCAUGAUACUCGACACAUGUGUAUAAAUGUUCAAAAGGAGACCACCUCACAGGUACCAGAAUUCUCCUCCAGGCCAUCUCUUCAGGUAAGACUGGAAAAGCAAGCAUUCUGCAUGCUGGCUUACUUAGACAGAAUUCUUAGAAAUAUGAGUCAAAUUCUCAUUCUGUUUUAAAUUUGAGCAGAUAAUUCCCACUGAAUAAUCUAUGCCUGGGAACAUACUGUUGUUUUUCCAGAGUCAGAGCAUAAAUAUGAUUUGCUAUAUAUAUUAUUCAAGACCUAGUUCCAAGUAGCAGAAAACCCGGUUUACACUGACUUUAGCAAAUAGAGAAUUCUGUGUGUCAUAUAUAUAUAUAGAAUAUCUCCUGAGGGUAGAACAAAGCUCCUGCUGCGAACAUGGGCCCCUUGUCCUCUCUCUCGCUGAGCAAACACGAGUUUUGAAGGGCCGUCUCUGCCUCUUCCUUCAUCUCUGAAGCCUUCUGGGCUUCAUUCUCAGACGAGCUCCCUUACAUGGUCUCAAGAUGUCCACCAGCUAUAAACUUAGAGACAUUCCUUCCUCGUGACGUCAACAAAGCUGCCCCAGUUGUGUUCCGCUGCCUCUGAUUGGCUGACUCGGGACACAAGACCAUCUGGAUGCAGCCUGUGAUGUAUCCUCCUUAGGAAGGUCCAGAUCACAUGCCCUGCCUCCAUUUCAGGACUUCUAAGGCAGAAUACAGUGUGAUCACUCCACAUCCACUAGACUCCCCAAAGGCCAGAAGAGACCAACGCCAAGGAUGGCAAGUCCCAGAGACGAGGAGCAGCCAGGAUCCUCCCACUCUGCUGGUGGGAGGACAGAGCAGGAACAUAUUAGCACCUGGCUUGCAAGGUAAAACUGAUACACGCAAAGCAGCUGAAACAAUGACUAGUCCCCAAAGAACUAAACAGGAGGUGCUUCAGGAGUAUUGUUUCUGCAUCCCACCCAGCCAUGACACAGCCAGUCUGAUGCCACUUUCCUCACCGCUGUUGCUCUCGAUCUUCAGCCGUCAUUGAGGAUUAAGGUCCAGAGCUGCUCCAGGCCUGACUUAGGCCUCACUCUGAAGAUGCCUCCCUGGACACCUCUGAGCUGGAGGAACCCGCCUGCUGUAACCCAGCAGGGCGCCACGCAGCUCUCCUUCACCGACGCUGUCUCAUAUUGCCUGUUUACCUUGCGGUGCCUGUUAGUCACACACCAAACAGCUGUCAAGACUGAUGAGUAAGACGCUCUGUGCAGGCUCGAGUCAGGUUAGAACUGGGGUCCAAAGCAGCCUCCGCUGAAGCCAGCGUCACUUGAUUAAUUGACACCGUGCUAUCUUGCGAGCCCUGUGACCCUGGGGAAGUUAUUUAACUUCUCUUGCUUGUUCUCUCAAAUAGAUUCUUGGUUUCUGCUUCACAAAUGAAGUCAUCUAUACCAUUUUUCUUGAUUCCACACACACGUGUUAAUAUACAAUAUUUGUUUUUCUGACCUACUUGACUCUGCAUGAGUCUCUAGGACCAUCCACAUCCCUACUAAGGACCCAGUUCAGUCCCUUUUAUGACUGAGUGACAGUUCAUUGUACAUACAUAGCACACCUUCUUUAUCCAUUCCUCUGCUGAUGGACAUUUAGGCAGAAAGAGACACACAGACAUAAAGGUCAAACACGUACGUGGAUUGCGGUGGAUGGACUGCGAGGCUGGACUGACGUAUACACACUGCCACGUGCGAACGAGGUAACUAAGGAGAGCCCGCUGCGGAGCGCAGGGAGCCCCGCCCGGUGCUGUGUGGCGACCUUAGACGGGAAGGCGCUCCAAGCCAGAGAGGACGCACGUUUGCACUGAGGGGCUCACUCUGCUGCGCCGCAGAAACUGACACCACUGCGAGGCGACUGGACGCCAAGAAGACACUGUUUUAAAGAGACUCGCUUACGUCAGAAACUAAGCAGAACAGGCACUGGUCACAUUCGCUGCCUCAGGAAACGGGAGAAGACGUGCCCGCGGCCUCCUCCUCUGCCCCUGCCAGCUCCGCCCCGAGGACGGCCCUCCCUGCUGGUCCUGGAGACGCAGUGGCUUCUCAGGAAACCCUUCUGUGCCUGGGCCCUCAAUCCCCGCCUCCUCCGCCUCCCUCAAGGAACUGA